rnacentral:rRNA from 1 species
AAUUGACGGGGCCGCACAAGCGGUGGAGCAUGUGGUUUAAUUCGAUGAUACGCGAGGAACCUUACCUGGGCUCAAAUGUAUGUUGACGUAUUCUGAAAGGGAUACUUCUUCGGACAAUAUACAAGGUGCUGCAUGGUUGUCGUCAGCUCGUGCCGUGAGGUGUCGGGUUAAGUCCCAUAACGAGCGCAACCCUACCUUUAGUUGCCAUCAGGUAAUGCUGGGGACUCUAAAGGAACUGCCUACGCAAGUAGUGAGGAAGGCGGGGAUGACGUCAAAUCAGCACGGCCCUUACGUCCAGGGCUACACACGUGCUACAAUGGCCGAUACAGAGGGCAGCUACCUGGUGACAGGAUGCAAAUCUCCAAAGUCGGUCUCAGUUCGGAUCGGAGUCUGCAACCCGACUCCGUGAAGUUGGAUUCGCUAGUAAUCGCGCAUCAGCCAUGGCGCGGUGAAUACGUUCCCGGGCCUU